AACGCACAUUGCGCUCCCUGGUAUUCCGGGGAGCAUGCCUGUUCGAGCGUCAUUAUCAACCAUCAAGCACUGCUUGGCAUUGGGACCUGUCCCCCGCGGACAGCCCCUAAAAGCUUCGGCGAUGGGAUGCACCCCUCAAGCGCAGUAGAAUGUUGCUUGGGUGGUGCGGUCGUCCGCCUAACUCUUCACCUCAAGGUUGACCUCGGAUCAGGUAGGGAUACCCGCUGAACUUAA
rnacentral:misc_RNA from 1 species